rnacentral:tRNA from 1 species
GGAGCGAUGGCCGAGUGGCUGAAGGCGGCGGUUUGCUAAACCGUUUUAGGGGGGAAACUUCCUAACGAGGGUUCGAAUCCCUCUCGCUCCG